CCCUUAGAUGUUCUGGGCCGCACGCGCGCUACACUGAUGCAUUCAACGAGUCUAAAACCUGCUCUGAUAGGGGUGGGUAAUCUUUUGAAUGUGCAUCGUGAUUGGGAUAGAUGAUUGCAAUUUUUCAUCUUCAACGAGGAUUGCCUUGUAAGCGCACGUCAUCAGCGUGCAUUGAAUACGACCCUGUAUUCUGUACACACCGCCCGUCGCUCCUACCGAUUGAAGUUUUCGGUGAGUUGACAGGAGGAUUUUUUUGAAACUGGUUCGCCAGUGGAUUUUAGAUCCAAAUGCCAACGAAUCGAUGGCUUUAGAGGAAGGAGAAGUCGUAACA
rnacentral:rRNA from 1 species